AUUGAACGCUGCGGCAGGCUUAACACAUGCAAGUCGAGCGAGCGGCGGACGGGUGAGUAAUGAUUAGGUAUCUGCCUAUUAGUGGGGGACAACAUCCCGAAAGGGAUGCUAAUACCUCAUACUAAUCGUCGAGUCUACGUCGGUUUAGCUAGUUGGUGGGGUAAAGGCCUACCAAGGCGACGAGCUGUACCGGGUCUGAGAGGGUGAUCCGCCACACUGGGACUGGGAAACUGCCCAGACUCCUACGGGAGGCAGCAGUUGGGAAUAUUGGACAAUGGGGUGAACCCUGAUCCAACCAUGCCGGGGGUGUGAAGAAGGGCUUAUGGUUGUAAAGCACUUUAAGCGAGGAAGCGUUACUCGCAGAAGAAGCACCGGCUAACUCUGUGCCAGCAGCCGCGGUAAUAC
rnacentral:rRNA from 1 species